rnacentral:rRNA from 1 species
AAAUUGAAGAGUUUGAUCAUGGCUCAGAUUGAACGCUGGCGGCAGGCCUAACACAUGCAAGUCGAACGGUAACAGAAAUCAGCUUGCUGAUUUGCUGACGAGUGGCGGACGGGUGAGUAA